AUACAUAAAUAAAUAAAUAUAUUGAUACAUAAAUAGUUUGGGUUCAACAAGGAACAUUUCUGCUUUGCAUGGGAAGAAGAAUACAAAUUUCCUUGGGACUGUUGAUGUAAAUACAAAAAAUCAUAUUCAAAGAUUCUAACUUUUGUUUUAUCAGUGAAAUGUAAGCAUCAAUUUUCUUAACUACAAAAUGGGUUUCCUAACACCAAUAUCAGAGUGCUGUCUGUGGGCCCAGUUACUUUAUAUACAGUUUCCAAGAUGCUAAUAAGCGUUCAAUAAAAGGAAAUAUGUUGUCUGACUUUUUUGUUGUUGUUGUUAGACAAUAUGGAAAAUAAGGCACCAACAUUUCCUCGCUGAGUAUAUUUAUUAUUAAAAAAGAGAUUGCUUUCUGGUGUUUCUGUAAGUGAACACUAAUGUGCUGAAAGUUGAAAAUAAAUAAAACAGGCAGACAAAAAGGCUAGGCAGAAUUCACAGUACAAAUACCUCUGUUAAACCUUGCCAUACCAGAGUGUGACCUUGCAGGAGACAGGGGGACGUGGGGAGUUGUUUAGGAGGCAGAGAAGCAGUGAUGCUGGGAGAUGCAUGACCUAGACUGGCAGGGAUGCCAGUGAGGGGCUCAUUAUGAAGAAUAUGAUUUUUUAAAUAAAUAAUAAAAACUUCCUAAAUGCUUGCUCUAACUUUGCCCUACGAAUUCCACACUGAGCCAGGCAGAGACGUUAAAGAAGAUCCAUAUUGUGCAAGGCGUGCUGGAUUUUGUUCCUUCCGUCAAAAUCAGAUGUUACAAAUCAGAGGACAUCAUGAAGCAGGGUGUGAGCUUCUACUGCUACAUGAGCCUGUUCUUGCAAGACAUGUAGGGGAGAAGAUGAGGAGAAUUGCAGAUACCUAGCACGGGGCCCUGGAGAAUCUCUGAAAAGAGAACAACCAACAAGCACUGUAAGGAGACAAGGUUCUUGCAUCAACAGGCUGCGCAGAGAGAAGAGUUUGAAAGAGAUUCAAUGCUGAAUUUUCUCACUAAUCUGAGGAGAAGAGAGACAUGGAAAGAAAGAACAUGAGAGAGAGGGAGAAUCAGAGUUCAUAUGGCUAAUUUUCUAGCCAGCAGCUACUGGAACGUUUCCAUUAAGAGAUAUGAGAAGAGACAAAGAGAAGUAAUAACUGAAGAUGGCUUUCUUGGCCAGAAAAUAAGUUGUUCUGCCGAGAUGGAGGGCAGUGGGUGAGAGCGCAGAUGAAGUAGGUGCCCGGGGGACACAUUUCAUUUUAAUGUCAUCUCUUUAGUACCUCUCUAUCUGCACAUUCAAUUAACAUCGGAGGGAAAAAAUAAGAAGUUCCUCCCAUGUCAGCCUGCUUGGGGAACAGAACUGGGGAGACACAGUGACCUCACAUGUUCUUCUCAGAGAGUGCUUUCCAUCUCUGAGUUGGCCUUCAACGUUCAAGAAAAUGGAUAUAUUAUUUUUUUUCCUUUUCUAUUUCCUUCAGGAAAGACUAGGUUUCAGUACGGUUUCAAAUAAAAGCAGUGGAGUAAUUUUCUCUCCCGUAGGUUCUCCCUCAGCCCCCUGAAUCAUAAGAAUCAACCCUCAUUCCUUUUCUCCCAACCUCUCAGGUGCAUUUGCUGAGUCACUGCAUGUUGGCCUGAAACAGGGUCCAUGUGUCUCCCCACCAUUUCCAAGGCAUGGAGAUGGGAAGUGGGAAGUGGGGAGGGUGAGCUUUGGACUGAACACCCAAGGCCCACGGCCACCAGCUACGAGGCUUCCCACAGGCUUGUCUUUCUCUGUAUGUCUGUCACAGGAUUCCAGUUCUCCAGUCAAACCAAUGAUGCUUCUUUGGCCCUGUGCUCCCUGAAGUCCUCCCUUUAUAUCAUAAGUAACCAAGGAGUCCUUCAUGCCUGAUUUUUGAAUGCUAGUAAAUUUUCAACAUCCUCAUCCAACUCUAUUCCCCAGGCUUCCCUGCUCCAAACUCCAAAUCACCUGAAAAAUAUGUUCCAGUCACCCCACCUCUGCACCAACUUGAGUGAGUCUGAACUGAGAAGCAUUCAUUCCAAUUUGUCAUAUUUGUGGAGGAUUUUUCUUAAAUGGUCACAAUAUUUCUAGUUCCAUGGGCUCUUCCAAGGCUUUGUCACUUCCCAUCCAGAGGCAGUUUCUGUGUUCUUCCCCUUGAACGUGGGAGGCAUUUGUGACGGCUGCCUUGACCAACAGGGUGGAAGAGACACUGCAUGACCUCUGAGUGAGUAAAGGCCAGGCAGCCCUUGCUUGACUCUCUUCCUUGAGAUGUCAUCCUUAGAACCUCCAUGUUGUGAGAAAGCUCAGGCCACUGGGAAGAACACGUGGGUGUUCCCAUUGUUGACAGCCUACAGACAAUAUCAAACACCAGACAUGUGAAUGAAUGAGCCUCCAGGUAGGUCCAGCCAUUGAGCCAGCCCUCAGUCAACUGUACCAGCUGUGACCCCAGACAUAUUGGGGUAGAGACAAUUAUAAUAUCUCUACUCUGCCUUGUUCCUGUUGCUGACCCACAAUCUGUGAGUCUACUGCUGGUCAUGAAAAAAAACAAAUUGAACUUUCAUUCAUUCAUUCAUUCAUUCAUUCAUCUAUCCACCUACUCAUCCAUCCACCAAAGACACACUUACUGAUAUCCCACUGUGUAUCAUAGACUAUAAGCAUGGGGGCUGCAGAGAUAAAGAAAGAAGUGAAGGUCCUGAGGAGCUCACAGACAUACUACUCAUUCUGCUGUUGACCCAUCACCCCAAGUAACAAAAGAGCACCCCUACUAAUAUCCUGCUUCAGAUUUUCACAGUCGCUCAUUUAUGCUUGCAUUUCUGCUUUGCCAUUCCAACUAAGUGCCUUUAGAAUAAGGGAUCAACUUUUUUUCUCAUGGUGCUUAGCACGGUUUUAUAAAUUUAACACAUGUUUGAUAUAGCUUGUUAAUUUUUGAAAAAUCAGUCCAUAUACUGCUAGAGGUUUUCAAGGCUUCAAGUAAAUAAAAGAAUUACAUUUUGGAAAAAUAACUUAAUAAAUGAAAUCCUUGUGCCAAUAGGAGAAAAAGAAGAAAGGUAUGAAUGAUUUUUGGGUCCUUAUUAGAUGACUGGGGCCUGCUAUUUCAUUUACUCUUCAUAGGAAACUUAUACAAAUUAUGACAAUCCUCAAAUUGCAGACUUUAAGAUAAACUGGCUAAAUUGAAUGACUAUCAAAUGUGGCACAAGGAGUUUAGCCAAUGCCAGGGACUCUUUUGCAGCCACUGUGGUGACUCCAGCACAUGAAGAUGCCACCCAGAUGACAUUUGCUUUCAAGACCUUUGAACAGGCUGCCUUGAAAAGAAUGCUUUCCAAUGUGCAACUCUAUAUCUUCUGUGGCUCUGGCGUUUUGUGAAGCAUUGCUAAACCUAGUGCAGUAAACACCGAAAUGCAGCUGAGGAGUAAGGAAUCAUCUUUGCAUGAAAAGCGAAAACCUUCUCUUGUCCUGCUGGUUUGCUCUGUGGGCAGAAGUGAGGGGGCUGAGAGGUGGGAGGCCUGGACCCAAUGCUCCUAUGCUGUAUUGCUCGGGGUGACCUCGACAUCCAAAGACUUCAUUUUUAAGAACAAUCCAUCUGUGGUGAGGCUGUGGGUGGUAGUCUCUAAAAAGAUGAUGUAACUCCUUAUUAAAAGAAACUGUGGUGUUGGGAAUUAUUCUUCGGAGAGCGGGACUUCUUGCAAGAAAUUCCAAGAACCCCAGAAGCUUCUGGAUAGCAUAUGUGGGUCGAUGGAUGAAGACAUACUCUCUCCUCUGACAAAAUCUUUCUGUCUUGCAUCUAGGGAGCUGUGUAAUUGAAAUCAGAAUUCAGAAAGUGACCGUCGUGAUGUCGUUUACCCACAUCUUUCAUCAUGAGAAAACUAGAGGCACUGGAGGGAGGAAGUCACUUGCCCAGAGUGGCCCAGUGGUUAAGGAUGGUUGUGAUGAGCUGUGAAUGGCUCUGUGGAGCCAGCACAGUGCGUCUGGAGGCUGGUUCUGCACACCUUGGCCUGGUCCACUCACCUCACCCAUGCUCAGUCCUGUUCUCUGCCUUCCUGGCUUCUGACCUUAUCGUGGAUUUUUUGGUCCAGGCCUCACUCCUCCUAUAGGGUUUCACCACUGUUUCUCCUCUUAGCAACAUCUUCCCCCAGAAUAGGGCCAGGCGUGUAAACACAAAAAUAUGCCAGGUAAAAAAAUCCCACAGAAACUGGGCAGGUCAUCAAGUGAGAGGAUCACUUAAAUUCUAAUGUGUAGACCGUCCUGGCUGAAGCAAUAUGUCUGCCAGUUGGAACUGGCUGGAGCUUGCUGUAAACAGCAGACUUGAAAACCAGCAUGGCCCAGACUACGAACUAGGUUUGAUGUUUUGUUUGACAGGCAGGUCUAGAUGACCACUGAAAUAUCAUCAUCUCCUCGAACACUUUUUUCUUCUGAAAAUCAUUUAAAGUUUUUACCAUGUAAAGUGGUAGCUCAGUCCCUGUUUUCCAAGAUUGAGCCAUCCUCCUUUCCUUUGUGUAUCCCCACUGCCAUAUUGCCAUAAAAAUAAUAAGAAUGAAUAACAUUAACAACAACAAAUGUCAUUGCUGGAUGUUCACAUGUCAGGUAAGAUGCUAGGUGUGUUUUUAUUUAUUUAUUUUUUAUCUU
rnacentral:lncRNA from 1 species